UCGAACGCGAAAGCCCCGCAAGGGGUGAGUAGAGUGGCAAACGGGUGAGUAACACGUGGGUGACCUGCCUUCGAGUGGGGGAUAACGUCCCGAAAGGGUCGCUAAUACCGCAUGACAUCCUGCCUUUGAACAGGCGGUGAUCAAAGCUGGGGAUCGCAAGACCUAGCACUCGACGAGGGGCCCGCGCCUGAUUAGCUAGUUGGUGAGGUAACGGCUCACCAAGGCAACGAUCAGUAUCCGGCCUGAGAGGGCGGACGGACACACUGGGACUGAGACACGGCCCAGACUCCUACGGGAGGCAGCAGUGGGGAAUUGUUCGCAAUGGGCGCAAGCCUGACGACGCAACGCCGCGUGGAGGAUGAAGAUCUUCGGGUCGUAAACUCCUUUCGAUCGAGACGAAUGAUCUCCGGGUGAACAAUCCGGAGAAAUGACGGUACCGAGAGAAGAAGCCCCGGCUAACUCCGUGCCAGCAGCCGCGGUAAUACGGGGGGGGCAAGCGUUGUUCGGAAUUACUGGGCGUAAAGGGCUUGUAGGUGGCCAACUAAGUCAGACGUGAAAUCCCUCGGCUUAACCGGGGAACUGCGUCUGAUACUGGAUGGCUAGAGUGUGGGAGAGGGAUGCGGAAUUCCAGGUGUAGCGGUGAAAUGCGUAGAUAUCUGGAGGAACACCGGUGGCGAAGGCGGCAUCCUGGACCAUGACUGACACUGAAAAGCGAAAGCCAGGGGAGCAAACGGGAUUAGAUACCCCGGUAGUCCUGGCC
rnacentral:rRNA from 1 species